rnacentral:tRNA from 1 species
AGUUAAUGAGCUUGAAAUAAGCAUAUAUUUUGAAAAUAUAAGAUAGAACCCUAUUCUAUUAACUU